rnacentral:lncRNA from 13 species
GGAUAGGCAGAGGGGAUAUGAGGAAAAGUAAUCAUAAUGCCAGCUAUCAUUUCGUGAAUGCUAACCAUGUCCCAGGAAUCUUGCUAAAUGUCUUUCAUUCAUUGAUGUUUAAUUACCACAACAACCCCAUAAGGCAGGUGAUAUUAUUACCUCUUCAUUACAGAUAAGAAAACUGAAGUUCACAGAAGUAAAGUGAGUUGUCCAAGACCUCACAGCUAUCAAGCUGAGAAACUGGGAUUUGGAUGCAGCAACACAAACCGACGAAGAUGUGGAAAAAACAUGAAACCCAACAUAAGAUAACAUUCCCUGAAGUGCAAUCAUCAACUUCUUGAUGGCCUAGAGGUGUGCAACGUGACUGUGUCAGAACUGGCAUUCUGAAAUACGACUGCCAAAGGCUUAAGCAAUAAGGACAAUCUGAACAAAGAAGUAGAAUGCCCCACUAUUGGUUCAGCAUCUCAGUGACACCAUCAAAGAUCCAGGUUCUUAUAUCCUGCUGUUCCAUCAACCUCAGAGUGCAAGCUGUAGAUUCACAAAUGUGUUGUCUCAUGGUCACAAAAUAGCUACUAUGGCUCCAGACAUCACUACCUCACACAACAGCAUUCAAAGCAGAAAGGAAGAAACGUAGCAAAAGACCUCUUCUCAAGCACUACUCUAUUUUUACUGGAAAAAAAUUAUUCCAGAAUCCUGGAUUUGACUUGCCCUCACCAGCAUAAGCAGCUGAGUCAGAAGAUCAUCCUGAGGAGAGCAGCAGCAACCCUGGGAAAAAGGCCUGGUCAUUCCUGGGCCAUGUGUCAAGAGGCCUUUAAUAGCAUAAUCACUCUCUUCUACAGAGGCCAGUGGUGACAAGCCUUUUAAUGAAGGAUAAUGGUGUUUUGCAUUUAAAUAUAUUCAGCCAUUGACUCAUUACUGCAGUAGCCACUGGAAAUACAAGUAAAUGAGAGGGAAGGGAGAAUCUGACAGGCUUUCCGGAGAAACCAGACUAAAAUGUAGACCACCACCAGGGACCCUCAUGGCUGCUGCAUAAAGCAUGGGCAGCUUCCUGGCCCUCUGGAAAAGUGGAUUCUAGAGCACAUUUCCAUCAUCACAGAAAGUCCUAUAGGGCUUUCCUAAAAUGGAAUGAGGAUGGGAGACGGUUGGUUUCCCCAAAGGAAAAUCAAGAUGCUGGGACCUGAAAAAGGGUAAAUGGCUGUUGCUGAAGCAAAGCAGAUGCCCACUGUAUGUCAUUUAAUUUGAGAGUUGCAGACUUCUGAGGCUGAUGAAAGCUAUGGACCUUCUCUCCAAGGGAAAAAAAACUGCAAGCAAUUUUAUAAACACAGAAUUCUGCUUAGAGUUUCAGAGGGGUCCCUGAAGUCAAACAAUGAGCAAUGACCCCACUUCAGAAUGUCUAAUGUUCUGGGAAUUUUAGCAAGAGAGCGGGCUGGAGGGAGUAACUUUUAACAGCUUUCCAGCCUGAGACAUCUCCAGAGAUUCCUUUCUUCUCCACCCCAAUGCCCUUAGUCUGGGAACAAGAAGAAUUUGUCUCUACUCCUAAUUAUCCGGUAAGACACAAAUGAUGCAAAUAUUAUGCUAAAUGAGGCCCCUUAAAAUAGCAGAGAGCAAACCAGCAGCAAAAGAUGCCUUGUCAUUUGCAAUUUGCAAACGAGUUUGAUGCCUUUCUUCAGCCUCUCCCCACCUCCCCACCCCUGUUGUUGAUGUUAAUCUGAACUCCUGAAGGAGUCACCUUCCCCCAGAAAGGUGUCCCCUGAGGGGAGGAGAGAAGGAAAAUGGGGGGAUGGAAAUGCUUCUUGAUUGCCUACAUCUGAUUAGUAAUUACACGCCAAAAGCCACUCUGGAAACACUGUCUCCCUCUGAUGAGAAAGAAGUUUGAUGAGGCAGAUCUUCCAGGUGGAGGUUGGGGUGGGAAGGGGAUGAUGAAGAGAGGAAAGUGGUAAUAGAUAGGCAAUUGGGGGACCCGCUUCUAGUUGGGCUGGGGUAGACAUAGGCAGAUUAUUGUAUAUAAUCUUUACAGCAUUUCCAUCUUGCCCUUUAGCAGCAUGAGUAACCUUGAGCUUUACCUUGCCCUCAUCAGCAUAAGUAGCUGAGUCAGAAGAUCACCCUGGGGAGAGUGACAGCAACCCUGGGAAUAAGGCCUGGUCAUUCCUGGGCCAUGUGUCAAGGAUCUUUAAUGGCUUAAACUCUGUGCUUCAGUUUCUUUAUCUGUAAAUCAGGAAUAAAGCUGGUACUGUCAGAGGCUUCUGAACCA